GCAGGAUAAUCUAGUGGUUAUGGUGUUUGGCUCCCAGCUGAAAGGUUCUGGGUUCGAACCCCAGUGUCUAGUUUUGAACA